rnacentral:pre_miRNA from 1 species
AUAUGGAUUCCUGGGGAUCCUGUUAAAAUGCAGAUUCUGAUUUAACUAGAUGCUGUUUUUCUGGUAGGCUCCCAGUGAAGCCUGUG